UCCGUAGGUGAACCUGCGGAAGGAUCAUUACAGAGUUCAUGCCCUUACGGGUAGAUCUCCCACCCUUGAAUAUCUUACCUUUGUUGCUUUGGCGGGCCGCUAUCGGCCACCGGCUUUCAGCUGGUGAGUGCCCGCCAGAGGACCCUAAACUCUGAAUUUUGUAUUGUCUGAGAACUAUAUAAUAGUUAAAACUUUCAACAACGGAUCUCUUGGUUCUGGCAUCGAUGAAGAACGCAGCGAAAUGCGAUAAGUAAUGUGAAUUGCAGAAUUCAGUGAAUCAUCGAAUCUUUGAACGCACAUUGCGCCCCUUGGUAUUCCGGGGGGCAUGCCUGUUCGAGCGUCAUAAUAACCCUCAAGCACAGCUUGGUGUUGGGCGUCUGUCCCCGCGGUUGCGCGGCGGACUCGCCUGGAAAGCAUCGGCGUCCGGCGGUGGGUCUUGCGCGUAGCAGAUUGUUCGCACAAGGGCCCGCCCGCAGGGCUGCCGCACACGUCCAUUGUAUCAGUUUGACCUCGGAUCAGGUAGGGAUACCCGCUGAACUUAAGCAUAUCAAUAAGGCGGGAGGGGAAGGUCGGACUGGCCAAGGGCACACAGGGGGGGAUA
rnacentral:rRNA from 1 species